rnacentral:rRNA from 1 species
UAGGCUGCAACUCGCCUACAUGAAGUCGGAGUUGCUAGUAAUCGCGGAUCAGAAUGCCGCGGUGAAUGCGUUCCCGGUCUUGUACACACCGCCCGUCACACCAUGGAAGUUGGGGGCGCCCGAAGUUGCCUAAGAAAUAAGGUACCUAAGGCGAAACCAAUGACUGGGGUGAAGUCGUAACAAGGUAAC